rnacentral:miRNA from 1 species
UUGGCCAAAAAGUUCAUUCGUGUUUUUUCCAUAAGAUCUUACAGAAAAACCCAAACAAACUUUUUGGCCAA